UCGUAUUUGGUGUCGUAAAGAAUGUUUUUCCUUAUAUUUUGGCAAAAGUUUAGGGUUUUCACCCCAAACUCUCCUCCAAUUGAGUCCCUAAAAUGGAGAUCAACUAUUCGAAUGCUUAAGCAAUUCUCCAUAUUUGGCAAUCCAUUGUACAUCCUCAAAUCUGAUUUCCUGCUUUUCCAGUCAUUGAUCCCGCAUCUCCUCUUCGACCGUUUGGUGCCCUUGUUGUUUUCACCCCUCUCUCGCAUCGCAACCACCAUCAACGGUAGACUCUCCAUCAGAAAUCAAUGGGGCUGCAUGUCUACUGUAAGACUGUGAUGAUGGUUGUAAUUUAUAUUCGGGAGGGGGUUAAUUCACAAAUGUUAAUAGGGCUCGAUCGAUAUAGCAGGAGAAGUAAUGUGGCUCAGUUUUCUUUGUUGGAUUAACCCCCUCGACUGUGAUGAUGACAAAACUUCGUGGGGCCACAGAAAAUUUAGUACAUACAUCCAUGACAUGAUAAUCCGGACAGCCAACAAGUAGUGGUAACCGAUUGUUACAGCCAUUAAAGGGUGUCAAUUUUCCUAUAUGUCACCAUUUAGUUCUUGAGCCAGUUAACGAAAUCAAGUUCUCUAUUUUUCUUGUUUUGUAUGAUUUUAGUUGUGUAUCCCUCAGCUGUAAUGAUUACACAGUUGAGACAAUGGUUUGGGUAUGUUGGAGGGCUUCGCAAGAUAAAGUUGAGUGUCGAGAAUGAAAAAGUUCAUUGUUUGUCUACAAACUUGAAGCAAAAUAAAAGAUAACACUAUCCAAUGCCUGAGUCAAGUAGUAGCACUAGCAAUAUCUCACACUCAGCAAACUAUCUUCAAUAUGUAUACUCAGUGUGUUAUUGUGGUAUUAAAACAUCUCGAUGAACUGCUCAUACUGAGGAUAAUGAGGGGCACCGGUUUUUCGGUUGCGUAAGCUAUGAGGUAAUUUUACAAAUUAUUGAUGGCCUGAUUUUUAUGAA